rnacentral:rRNA from 1 species
UACGUAGGUGGCAAGCGUUGUCCGGAUUUACUGGGCGUAAAGAGCGGGUAGGCGGCCGCAUAUGUCGGGUGUGAAAUCUCUCGGCUUAACCGAGAAACUGCAUUCGAAACUGUGCGGCUAGAGGACUGGAGAGGGAAGUGGAAUUCCCGGUGUAGCGGUGGAAUGCGUAGAGAUCGGGAAGAACAUCGGUGGCGAAGGCGGCCUGCUGGGCUCUUGCUGACACUGAUGCGCGACAGCGUGGGGAGCAAACAGG